UGCUAAUGAAAAAUGCAGAGUCAUUUUGACUCCCGUCUCCAGUUAUGGAAGACUGCAUACAUGGAAUCAAAAAGUUAGUUUGUUCAUCAUGCUACUUAGGAAUUUAAAUCCAUCUAAAUUAUGCAAUGGAGUAAGGCUGCAUCAGCAAAUAAUUCGAGAUUCAAGCAACUAACCUUACAGGAUUUCCUGAAAAUUUUACUAUGUACAAUUCUGUUCUCUCUGCAAUGGAUGAAGAGCAAACAUUAAAAAAAGAAAAGGAAUUCUUUGAAUUCAUCUGGAAAGCACUACAUACAUAAAACUAAAAGUUAGUUUGCUCAUCUAAAAUGAUUUUAGGAGUGCAGUGUCAUUCUACUUAGGAAUCCAAAUUAUGCAAUGGAACAGGACUUUGUAUCUGCAAGCUUAUGGCUAGCAUGAGUCAAGAUUCAAGCAACUUUUCUUGAGGAGGUGUUAGGAAGUUCUACUACAGAAAAUUCUGUUCAUACUAUAAUGGAUGAAGAGCAAAUUACUUACUAUUGAGAUGUUUCAAACCACCUGACGAGCAGUGCAUACACGAAAUCUAAAUUAGGAGCUCAGCAUAUAAAAUCCAUCCCAGUUAUGCAGUCUGGUAAGACUUAGCAUUUGCAAGUCAAAGAUCUAUAUGAUUGAAGAAAUUAAUCUACAGGAGUUUGUUAGGAAGUUCUACUACAGAAAAUUCUGUUCAUACUAUAAUGGAUGAAGAGCAAAUUACUUACUAUUGAGAUGUUUUAAACCACCUAAUGAGCAGCACAUACCGGAAAUCUAAAUUAGGAGCUCAUCAUGCUUAUGAGGAAAUUAAAACCAUCCAAAUUAUGCAGUGUAGCAGGACUUAGCAUUUGCAAGUCAAAAGCCUAUAUAAUUGAAGAAACUAAUCUGCAGGAGGUGUUAGGAAGUUCUACUACAGAAAAUUCUGUUCAUACUAUAAUGGAUGGAGAUCAAAUUACUUACUAUUGAGAUGUUUUAAACCACCUGACGAGCAGUGCAUACACAAAAUCUAAAUUAGGAGCUCAUCAUGCUUCUGAGCAAAUAAAAUCCAUCCCAAUUAUGCAGUGUGGCAAGACUUAGCAUUUGCAAGUCAAGGGUCUAUAUGAUUGAAGAAACUAAUCUACAGGAAUUAUGUGAGUGUGUAUCCAGGGAAAUAUGACCAGCAUUUUUUGGUGAGCUACUCCUAACAAAAUGAAACGAAAAUACAAUCAAAUGAGAAAUCAAAAGAGUGAAGGCGAACCUUUUAUUUGAUUGGUUGGAGGGAGAUACAAGAAUCAAUUGGUUAAUUGCUUGUUUUUCUUCUCCUCAUGUGUCACUCAGAUGAGCUCAAUUCAUGAAUUUUUAGGCUUUUAAGAACUAUUCAUUGUGCAGCCACACUGUCUGUCUCUCCUAUCUAUUGAUUUUCUUUUUCUGUGUUGAAUUUCUCUGCCCAUGCUCGUAUUUAACUCGAGAAAACUAUAUGCAUGCAUCCUAUUGCUUAAUUAGAAUUAGAGAUGUAUGAAUGUUGAUUCUAGUUACGAUUAUUAUC